rnacentral:rRNA from 1 species
GUCUACAUCCAUGCCACCCUGAAUGUGCCCGAUCUCAUCUGAUCUCAAAAGCUAAGCUGGGUCGGGCCUGGUUAGUACUUGGAUGGGAGACCACCUCGGAGUACCAGGUGCUGUAGGUA